GGAGAGAUGGCCGAGUGGUUUAAGGCGCACGCCUGGAACGCGUGUGUAUCUUAACGGGUACCGUGGGUUCGAAUCCCACUCUCUCCG
rnacentral:tRNA from 1 species